rnacentral:rRNA from 1 species
GAUGAACGCUGGCGGCGUGCUUAACACAUGCAAGUCGAACGGAAAGGCUCCUGCUUGCAGGGGUACUCGAGUGGCGAACGGGUGAGUAACACGUGGGUGAUCUGCCCUGCACUUCGGGAUAAGCCUGGGAAACUGGGUCUAAUACCGGAUAGGACCACAUUUUGGAUGGUGUGGUGGAAAGUUUUUCGGUGUGGGAUGAGCUCGCGGCCUAUCAGCUUGUUGGUGGGGUAAUGGCCUACCGAGGCGUCGACGGGUAGCCGGCCUGAGAGGGUGUACGGCCACAUUGGGACUGAGAUACGGCCCAGACUCCUACGGGAGGCAGCAGUGGGGAAUAUUGCACAAUGGGCGCAAGCCUGAUGCAGCGACGCCGCGUGGGGGAUGACGGCCUUCGGGUUGUAAACUCCUUUCGCUAGGGACGAAGCGUUUUUGUGACGGUACCUGGAGAAGAAGCACCGGCUAACUACGUG